GGAGGAAAGCAGGGGAUCGAAAGACCUUAUGCUUUUGGAGCGGCCGAUGUCUGAUUAGCUAGUUGGUGAGGUAAAGGCUUACCAAGGCGACGAUCAGUAGUUGGUCUGAGAGGACGACCAGCCACACUGGGACUGAGACACGGCCCAGACUCCUACGGGAGGCAGCAGUGGGGAAUUUUGGACAAUGGGCGCAAGCCUGAUCCAGCAAUGCCGUGUGAGUGAAGAAGGCCUUCGGGUUGUAAAGCUCUUUCAGUCGAGAAGAAAAGGUUGUGAUUAAUACUCACAAUCCAUGACGGUAUCGACAGAAGAAGCACCGGCUAACUACGUGCCAGCAGCCGCGGUAAUACGUAGGGUGCGAGCGUUAAUCGGAAUUACUGGGCGUAAAGGGUGCGCAGGCGGCUUUGUAAGUCAGAUGUGAAAUCCCCGGGCUUAACCUGGGAAUUGCGUUUGAAACUACAAAGCUAGA
rnacentral:rRNA from 1 species